AACGUAGGUGGCAAGCGUUAUCCGGAAUUACUGGGCGUAAAGGGUGUGCAGGCGGGGGUGGAAGUGGGGUAUGAAAACGUCCGGCUUAACCGGGAGCUGUUAUGCCAGACUGCAGUUCUAGAGGACGAGAGAGGGGCGUGGAAUUCCGGGUGUAGUGGUGAAAUGCGUAGAGAUCCGGAGGAACCCCAGAGGCGCAGGCGACGCCCUGGCUCGUACCUGACGCUCAGCCACGAAAGCAUGGGGAGCGAACGGG
rnacentral:rRNA from 1 species